ACCGAGCUCCGCUGGGUAAACUCCAGCUGCAGGAACCUGGACUAGCGACUCGGCUUUUCCUUCCGACCCCGCGGACCACGAGCCCCAGAACGCUUUGCGCCUCGGCCUCUUUGCGGAAAGAACAACAUUUCCCACAGGGCCCCGAGACACGCCUCGACAUCGCGCCUGCGCUACAGGUGACCGCGGCCGCAGGAAUUCUUUGGAUGAUGGGACUUCCCUGGUGGUCCAGUGGUAAAGAAUCCGCCUUCCAAUUCAGGGGACGCAGGUUUGAUCCCUGGUCAGGGAACUAACACCCCACAUGCUGUGGGGCAACUAAGCCUGCCCGCCACAACUGCUGAGCUGGGGUGCCUCAACGAGAGAGCCCACGUGCCUCAAACUACAAAGUCCACAUGCUCUGGAGCCCGAGCACCACAACUACAGAGCCCAUGUGCCCUGGAACCCAUGUGCCACAACUAGAGAGAGAAAAUCUGCAUGCCACAACUAGAGAGAAGCCCUCAUGUCACAAGAGCCCACGCUGCAAUGAAAAAUCGCACAUGCCUCAACGAAGAUCCUACAUGCCACAACUAAGACCCGACACAGCCAAAAAAAAAAAAAAAAGAAUUCUUUGGAUGAUAAUUGUGGUUUGGUGCUUGACAAAUGCAUCACACAGCUCUUCCCUGGACUUAACUAUCACGCAGGUACACAAUGGAAUGAUUUGAUAUUUGUAAGUAUUGCAAAGUGAUCACUUCAGUAAGUCUAGUUAACAUCCAUCACCAUACAUAGUUACAAAAAAAUUUUUUUUCUUAUGGUAAGAACUUUUAAGAUCUACUCUCUUAGCAAUUUUCAAAUAUGCAAUACGGUAUUAUUAACUAUAGUUACCAUGCUGUACAUGUACAUCCCCAUGAUUUAUUUUAUAACGGAUCCCCUUCACCCAUUUUGCCCAACCCCCGCACCCUGCCCCUGGCAACCACCAAACUGUACUCUGUAUUUAUAAGCUCUGUUUUUUCAGUUGUUUCUUAUUUGAAGGCAGUAGUUCUUCUUUGUAUUGAGAAUGAAGUAAAAUUGAGAGUGAAGAAACCAAGAACAACUUCUUGUCUUAGUUAUUUUAAUUGACCAUCCGUAUUCUUUGCCCUAGAAUGUUUUUAUAUAACCCUGUGGACUGAAGAAUAAAGCACGAUUUUACCAGGGCUUACUAGACACGGCUUAUUGAGAUGUUUGGAAAGCAUUCAUAC